rnacentral:rRNA from 1 species
AACGAACGCUGGCGGCGUGCUUAACACAUGCAAGUCGAACGCGAAAGGGACCUCGGUCCUGAGUAGAGUGGCGCACGGGUGAGUAACGCGUAAGUUAUCUACCCUCCAUCUGGAAUAACUCACCGAAAGGUGUGCUAAUACCGGAUACGUUGGAAACAAGAAAGGUGGCCUCUUCUAUGCUACCGUGGAGGGAUGAGCUUGCGUACCAUUAGCUAGUUGGUAGGGUAAUGGCCUACCAAGGCAACGAUGGUUAGCGGGUCUGAGAGGAUGAUCCGCCACACUGGAACUGGAACACGGACCAGACUCCUACGGGAGGCAGCAGUGAGGAAUAUUGCGCAAUGGGGGAAACCCUGACGCAGCGACGCCGCGUGGAUGAUGAAGGCCUUUGGGUCGUAAAAUCCUGUCAGAUGGAAGAAAUGUACAUGUGCUAAUAUCAACUUGUAUUUGACGGUACCAUCAAAGGAAGCAACCGGCUAACUCCGUGCCAGCAGCCGCGGU